GAUAUAUGUAUUUACUGGAACUACACUCUGUCGACGUUAGUUAGCUCCCUUGAACAUAUAGUUCAAUACUGGUGCGUAAUACAUGAAUAUAUAAACAGGCGACAUGUCCGCACAACCAGUUUAUUCACACAAUUCGUGUGAAUCCAUGCCAAUUAUUCACUCUAUCACUUGUAAACAUGAGACAAGGGUACUAGAUAAUUGUAAAUCAACUGAAGUAGAACAUGAUAGUGGUUUACUAAAACUUAAGAAAGAAAACCUGGAAUUGAAACAAACAGUUGAAGAGUUAAGAUCUUCACUUGCAAAACAGAAAUUGAAGAAUAAACAGGAAUUCAAGAAUAAACGCAGAGGUUAUGUGGAAUAUGGACGAAUGCCGGAUGUCCAGUAUAGCAAAAUACAGGCCAAUUACACAACUCUACUGAAAGAGAUAGUAAAACCCACUCCACUUUGCAGACAAUUAUUCUCUGCUUUUGUAUUUGACGAAGAUGACAAAAGAACAAUAGAGUCCGAAAAAGAUCGAAUAGAACAGACUGAUCAAUUGUUAAUGACUUUGGUGGAGCGUGGUCCAAGGGCCUUUGAUGAAUUUUUACAGGCACUUUCUGCUACAUUCCACCACCAGGCAAAAAGAAUACUAGAACAAGAUGAAUGUGAAGACGUUGCGGCUAUCAAAGAUAAUAGUUACUUUAGUAUGAAAAUAAUGAUAAAAAAUCCUAAUAGAGACAGCUUGGACGACAUGAAAGAUACAAUAGAAAGAUCAAUUAAAAGUAAUUAUGGAUGUGACGCAACGAUAACAAGUCUCAGCAGUGGUAAGGAUUAAUAGAACAUGCUUCUCGGUGUUGGUAGGAGACAUUCAGAUGCAGAGAUGGUGUUUGUAACAUUUCUUUGUGAACCAUGCAAUAAUAUUAAGACACAACUUGCAUCUAAUCAACUUAUUAAAGAAGGGUACAUCGCUUUUCUACAUUCUACAUAAAACUUUUAGGCUAGGUGUUACAUAGUGUGAGAGACAGUGAUAGGUAAAAGAUUAUAAUUAUCCUAUGACCGCAUGUGUAAUAAACUCUCCACUGUUCUCUAAUUGACCACACUAUUGUUCAUUUAAUAAAGAACCAGAUGCUGCCAUAUGUAUAAUGGUCAAGUUAGAUAAUCCGCUGAUCACUAAUGACGUUUACUAGCGUUAGCUGUCACACAUCAAUUGUUCUGAAGCCUGCCAUAUGCUUAUAGUGAGAUAAUCUAUCAAUGACAAAUGAUUUAAUUAUGUAGUCUUUACAUAAGUCCUUUUGUUCCAUAUUAUUAAUUACCCGUGUUAUCAAAGUGAAUUUAGUAUAAAUUGGCUUUGGUUUUUCAUGUAAAACAGAACAGCUUUGGCGGCUGACCAGAUACGACUUUAUAGUAUAUCUAGUAUGCUAGAAUAAAAUGUUGCAUCCAGAUCAUGUUUUAUUUCUAUUAACUCAAACUAUGUUAUAUAGGCCUGUGACGCUGAUACAAAUAUAAAAUAGUAAGAACACCUAUAGCUGAUUUCAUUAUGAAGUGUGCCAGUU